GUCCUCUUGAUUAUAUUUUGAGGUCUGGCCUGCUCACUGACAAGGUUUUAAAGAGCCGCGGUAUUUUGACCGUGCAAAGGUAGCAUAAUCAUUAGUCUCUUAAUUAGGGGCUGGAAUGAAUGGCUUGACGAGAAAUCAACUGUCUCUUAAUAAUUUUUAAAAUUUAACUUUUGAGUCAAAAGGCUUAAAUUUUUCUUUAGGACGAGAAGACCCUAUAGAGCUUAACAUUUUAUUUUUAUAUAGUUUUUAGUUGAUCUUUCUAUAUUUAAUGAUAAUGUUUUGUUGGGGUGACAUGAAGAAUAAUUAAACUCUUCAUUAUAAAAUCAUUGAUUUAUGUUUAUCAUGAUCCAUAAUUUAUGAUCAUAAGAUUAAGUUACCUUAGGGAUAACAGCGUAAUUGUUUUCGAGAGCUCAUAUCGACAAAGCAGAUUGCGACCUCGAUGUUGGAUUAAGAAAAAUUUUGGGUGCAGGAGCCCAAUAAUUAGGUCUGUUCGACCUUUAAAUUCUUACA
rnacentral:rRNA from 1 species